rnacentral:rRNA from 1 species
UGCCAGCCGCCGCGGUAAUACUGAAGGUGCAAGCGUUAAUCGGAAUCACUGGGCGUAAAGCGCUCGUAGGUGGCUUUGUAGGUCAGAUGUGAAAGCCCACGGCUCAACCGUGGAAUUGCAUUUGAUACUGCAUCGCUAGAGUAUAGGAGAGGGAAGUGGAAUUUCUGGUGUAGGAGUGAAAUCCGUAGAGAUCAGAAGGAACACCGGUGGCGAAGGCGACUUACUGGCUCGAUACUGACGCUGAGGUGCGAAAGCGUGGGGAGCAAACAGGAUUAGAUA